GAAAUUAUCCAUGUUAGCGGGCGAUGGUCUGUGUAUAUAGUGAACUUUUUACCAUAUAGGUAAGGGCGUAAGUAUUUUAUUGCCCAGACUAUACUUAGAAGUUCUUUUUCUAUUGUAGAGUAUCUUUGUUCUGUGUCUGAUAGUGUUCGAGAAGCGUAAGCUACUGGUGUAUCUGUUCCUAUUGUUCCUUGCGAUAGUACUGCGCCUAUUACUGAUGCAUCUGUGGUGAGUAUAAAGGUGUAAUAUUGGUGCAUUAAUUUACACCUCAUUGCAUUUUUCGAAUGCUUGUGUGUAUUCGGGCAUUAAGUUGAUUUUACUACCUUUUUUUAAGCACUUGGUUAGUGGUUUGGUAAGUCUUGUAUAAACUUUCUAGUAGGCACUAGAAAUGAUUUUAUUUCUUUGUGUUUUUGGUAUUGGAAAUUUUUUUACUGCCGCUAUUUUGUCUUCAUUUGGCAUAAGGCCCUUUUGUAGAAAUUCUGACUUAUUUAAUUGGAUCUUUAAGUUGUGGGAUCUGAAUCUUUCAAAUACCUGUUUGCAUUUAUUUAGGUAUUCCUGUAAAGACGUAGAGUAAAUUAUUACGUCAUCUAGGUACGUUAUUACGUUGUCUAUGCCUCUUAGUACUGAGUCCAUUAAUCUUUGAAAAGGGCUAGGGGCAUUUUUUUGACCAAACGGCAUUCUGAGGAAUUCGUAAUGUCCUCGAUUGCAUUUCUACUUGGUGGAAACCAGACGUUAGGUCUAGGGUAGUGAAAUACUGAGCUCGUCCUAACUUAUCUAAAAUGUCAUCUAUGUUUGGUAAUGGGUAUUUGUCUUCUAUAGUUUUGACAUUUAAUUUUCUGUAGUCUAUUACAAGUCUGUACUUUUGUUCUCCUGUUGCGUCUAAUUUCUUGGGUACAAUAUGUACCGGGCAAGACCAUGGGUAAUUACUUUCUUGUAUUAUGUUCUGUUCGAGGAGUAUGAUGAUACAUGAGCGUAGAGCUGGGAUAUCAGUUGAUUUUUCCUUGAAGCCGUGUGUUCAAGACAUUCAAAUGAUUUGUAAUGUCAACUAAUAAAGCCAAAUCACACAA